rnacentral:rRNA from 1 species
UACGAAGGGGGCUAGCGUUGCUCGGAAUCACUGGGCGUAAAGCGCACGUAGGCGGAUCUUUAAGUCGGGGGUGAAAUCCUGGAGCUUAACUCCAGAACUGCCUUCGAUACUGAGGGUCUCGAGUCCGGGAGAGGUGAGUGGAACUCCGAGUGUAGAGGUGAAAUUCGUAGAUAUUCGGAAGAACACCAGUGGCGAAGGCGGCUCACUGGCCCGGUACUGACGCUGAGGUGCGAAAGCGUGGGGAGCAAACAGG